AAGAGCAAUGCAUCAGAAGGUCUUAAUCCUAUUAACAUUUAUAAAACUUCCCCUUUGAAUAUCCCUGGGAAUAAGUAGUGAAAACUUAAAGUAAGUAAGUAUUAAGCCAGUGAAUGGAAAAAAAAAAAAAAGCUAGACUUUUGUUACCACAUAUGUUUCUAUAAUACUAAUUAAUCCAAGUAGAUACAUAGAGAAAUUAUGUCAAUAUAACAUAGAGUUUUUAUUUUUUAAUAUAAAUUUUUUCUGUGCUAGUAGAACAAGGAUAGUAGAAAUAAUAACUUCAGGGAGGAAAUAAUAUAUUUUCCAUUUGGCUGAUACACAAAUAAGCACUUUUUAGUUCUAAGAAAGUUAAAACGACUGCAGGGAAUUUCAACUUCUGAGAAGUUGAAGUAUGUACUUUUCACUAUUCUUCCCACUAGGAACAAUUAAAACCCCUGCAAAUUACAUAUGAAACAAGUUUAAGAGGACUUUGAGAGAUGAAGAAAAGCAGGCAGACCAGCCAGGGACCUUGCAGCCUGAAGAAGGACAGGAAGCUUGGUAGACACUUGUGCACUGUAUGAGUCCGUUUUCAUGCUCCUGAUAAAGACAUACCCCAGACUGAGAAGAAAAAGAGGUUUAAUUGGACUUACAGUUCCACAUGGCUGGAGAGGCCUCAGAGACAUGGUGGGAGGCAAAAAGCACUUCUUACAUAGCGGCAACAGGAGAAAAUGAGGAAGAAGCAAAAGCGGAAACGCUGAUAAACCCAUCAGAUCAGGGCUUCUGCAGUACUAUGCUGAACAGAAGAGGUGAAGGUUAAAGACUUAAACCUAAGACCUAAAAAUCAUAAAAGCCCUAGAAGAAAACCUAGGCAAUACCAUUCAGGACAUAGGCACGGGCAAAGACUUUAUGACUAAAACACCAAAAGCAAUUGCAACAAAAGCCAAAAUUGACAAAUGGGAUCUAAUUAAACUAAAGAGCUUCUGCACAGCAAAAGAAAUUAUCAUCAGAGUGAACAGGCAACCUACAGAAUGGGAGAAAAUUUUUGCAAUCUAUUCAUCUGACAAAGGGCUAAUAUCCAGAAUCUAAAAGGAACUUAAACAAAUUUACAAGGAAAAAAAAAUCAAAAAGUGGGUGAAGACUAUGGAAAGACACUUUUCAAAAGAAGACAUUUAUGCAGCCAAAAAACAUGAAAAAAAAAAAAGCUCAUCAUCACUGGUUAUUAGAGCAAUGCAAAUCAAAACCAAAAUGAGAUACCAUCUCAUGCCAGUUCGAAUGGCAAUAAUUAAAAGUCAGGAAACAACAGAUGCUGGAGAGGCUGUGGAGAAAUAGGAACGCUUUUACACUGUUGGUGGGAGUGUAAAUUAGUUCAACCAUUGUGGAAGACAGUGCGGCGAUUCCUCAGGGAUCUUGAACCAGAAAUACCAUUAGACCCAGCAAAAUCCCAUUACUGAGCACAUACCCAAAGGAUUAUAAAUCAUCCUACUAUAAAUACAAAUGGACAAGUAUGUUUAUUGCAGCACUAUUCACAAUCGCAAAGACUUGGAAACAACCCAAAUGCCCAUCAAUGAUAGACUGGAUAAAGAAAAUGUGGCACAUAUACACCAUGGAAUACUAUGCAGCCAUAAAAAUGAUGAGUUCAUGUCCUUUGCAGGGACUGGGAUGAAGUUGGAAACCGUCAUUCUCAGCAAACUAACACAGAAACAGAAAAUCAAACACCACAUGUUCUCACUCAUAAGUGGGAUUUGAACAAUAAGAACACAUGGACACAAGGAGGGGAACAUCAUGCACCGGGGCCUGUCAGCAGGUUGGGGGCUGAAAAGGGAUAGCAUUAGUAGAAAUACCUAAUGUACAUGAUGGGUUGAUAUGUGCAGCAAACCACCAUGGCCCAUGUAUACCUAUGUAACAAACCUGCAGGUUCUGCACAUGUAUCCCAGAACUUAAAGUAUAAUAAAAAAAUGAGGUAUCUACAUGCAAACAAAUGAAAUUGGACCCUUAUUUUACACCAUACACAAAACCAAUUCAAAAUAGAUUAAAGCCUGGCCAACAUGGUGAAACCCCAUUUCUACUAAAAAUACAAAAAUUAGCCAGGCAUGGUGGUGGGCACCUGUAAUACCAGCUACUCAGGAGGCUGAGGUAGGAGAAUCACUUAAACCUGGGAGGUGGAGAUUGCAGUGAGCAGAGAUCACACCACUGGAGUGCAGCCUGAGUGACAGAAGGAGACUGUCUCAAACAAACAAACAAACAAAUGCAAUGAAAAUAACACAAGGAACUUGAAUAGAUAUUUCUGCAAAGUGCAAAGAAGACAUAUAAAUGGCCAGCAGGUACAUAAAAAGAUACUCAACAUCACUAAUGAUUCAGGAAGUGCAAAUCAAACUACAAAAUAAGUCACCUCACACCUGUCAGGAGAGCCAUUAAUUUAUUUUAAAAAAUGUUAGUGAGAAUGUGGAGAAAUUGGAACCCUGUACACUGUUAGUGACAAUGUAAAAUUGUGCAGCAACUAUGGAAAACAGUGUGAAGGCUCCUCAAAGAAUUAAAAACGUAACUUCUAUAUGAUUCAGCAAUCCCAUUUUUAAGUAUAUAUCCAAAAUAAUUGGAAUCAAUAUCUUGAAGCCAUAUUUACACUAUCAUGUUUAUUGAAGCAUUAUUCACAAUAGCCAAGAUAUGAAAUCAACCUAAAUGCCCAUCAACAGAUGAAUGGAUAAAGAAACGAUGGUAUACAUAUACAAUGGACUAUUUUUCAGCCUUAAAAAUGAUAACCUGCCAAAUGUGACAACGUGAAUGACUUGAGGGACAUUAUACUAAGUGAAAUACACCAGUCACAGAAGGACAAAUACUGCAAUCCAGGUAGGUAAGUCUUAUAUAAUAGUCAAACUCACAGAAGCUUGAAUACAGAAGCAGAGAAUACAAUAGUGGCUGACAGGUGCUGUGCAGUGGGGGAAGUGGGAAGUUGUUCAAUGAUUAUACAUUGACAGUUAUACGUGAAGAAAAAGCUCUAGAGAUCUACUCUAAACAUAGUGCCUAUAGUUAGAAAUGUGGUGUUUUGCACUUUGAAAUUUGUCAAGAGAGUAGAUCUCAUGGUAAGUUUUCUUACUACAAAAGAAAAAACAACAACAGAGGACACAAAGAAACUUUGUGAGGUGUUGAUAGGUCUAUUAUCUUUACUGUGAUGAUGGUAUCAUGGAUGUUUACAUAUGUCCAAAUGCAUCAAUUGUAUAUAUUAAAUGUGUGCUGUUCUUUGUAUAUCAGUUAUAUCCAAAUAAAAUUGUUAAAAAAUAAUGUCACUCUAAGUGGAAAAGCAGCUAGUUUUGUAUGUAUCUAAUUUCACACAAGUGUAAAUUUUAUAUUAGUUUUAGUAUAUAAGUACAUAGAAUAUAAUACUACUUUGAAAUAAAGUCAAUCAGAACAUACCCACUUCUUUUAACAAAAAUCCUACUUUUCUAAUGAAUAAGAUUUCUAAGCAAUCUAAUGGCAUAAAAUAUUUGGGAAAUUUCAAAUUUAUCUUUUUAUGGUUGAUUUAACUGAUUUUUUUCUAUAUGUAUUUGUUUUCCAGUUUAAUUUUCUUUCCAUUAACACAAAUAUGUAACAUAAUACCACCAGAGUCAUCCUCUUUUGUUAGUAUUUUUCUAAUGGCAUUUUCUGUUUAAACUAAGGGUAAUGUUUAUAACGCUGCUGAGCGAAGUUCACAGGAUAACAUGAAUCCAUUUAAGAAACAGCUUCUCAAAGGGAAGAUAAGUGGGUUCACAGUAGGUUUUCUGAACUGAAUGGAAGUUACUGAUAGUCAAAUUUAAACAUUUUUAAUUCACAUAAAUAUUUAUUUCAUAGCUAUCAUUUUCAUUAAAACAUUCCUAGAAAGGGUUUCCAAAUAACAAAUACAACUAACCUUGAAUUCUUAGAAAAUAAGAUUAUAUAUCUACAACCUGUGACCUUUAAUUUUUUUCCAGACAAUUUGAAGAUGUUUUGGUCCCUAAUUAAUAUUCUUUAGUAAAAUAGGAGCGAAGUAGAGGGAAUAUUGUUCUAGAAACUAUAAAUUUCAGGUCAUAGAUAACAUCAGUAACAAUGAAUAUGCUUUAUUUUCUAAGUAUAUAGCAUCACAAGGUUCUACCUUUGCACUACCAUGACUUGCUUUCCCUUGAGUGAUGUAUUUGCAUCAAUACAUUGCUAUACAUACUGUCAACAGUUCAUUUUCUGAUUAAAAACACUUAGUUUGGAAGACAAUUGAAGGGAGACAUUGUAAGUCUAGACUACAUACUAGAGAAAUAUAAUUCAUCCCUAAGGAUCAACAUGUUAUCCUGUGUAUAUUAACUCAAUAGUAACUGAGUAAAUUACCUAUAACUAUACUAAAAUUGUUUUUUGAAAUUAGCCUAUUUUCAGGAGAAAAAGGUGUGUUUAUUUGAAUAAAAUACAAAUGAUCUGAACUAUAAUCAUGUUUCAGUUCUUAUCUUUGCCUGAAUCAGAGAAGCAAAAAUAUUUUUGCUGAAUGAAUCUGUCUAAUGCCCGUAUUCCCUCAGCCCAAAAUGACCUUGAAUAUUGAGACAGAAUUUGCUCACUCUGAUGCUGACAUCACUCCUAUCAUUUAUAAAGAUAGAGUUAUUGUGUCAGUGUUUUGUUUUUUUGGAAUAUACAUAAUAUUCUGGAAACAAAAUGUUGCUGUUGUAAAAUGAUGACUUUUUUGAGUGACAAAGGAGGGUCCAUUUUAGGGAAUUCUUUUUCUUUUUCUUUUUCUUUUUUUUUAAAUGGAGCCUCAGUGUCACCCAGGCUGGAGUGCAGUGGCAUGAUCUCGGUUCACUGCAACCUCCGCCUCCUGGGAUCAAGCGAUUCUUGUGUCUCAGCCUCCCAAGUAGGGGAUUAUAGGUGCGGGCCACCAUGCCUGGCUAAGUUUUGUAUGUUUAGUAGAGACAGGGUUUCACCAUGUUGGCCAGGCUGGUUUCCAACUCCUGACCUCAGGUGAUCUGCCGGCCUCGGCCUCCCAAGGUGUUGGGAUUACAGGCGUGAGCCACUGCGCCUGGCCAAAAAUCAUUUUUAUACCCUAUAUUAUCAAAUGAGUCUACACUGCAAACUUACAAUAAUAAGAUUUAUUAAUGUUUAUAUAUAUAUAUGUAAAUCUCCAUCAUAUAGCCAAAAAGCUGAAAACACAACAAACAAUAACCCUCCCAUCUGGUCUCAUAGACCAACAAUAAAAUAAUAAAGGAAAACCACUUUCAAUGUUAUUACUCAAUUUAAGGUGUUUAACAAAAACACAUCAAUUUACAUUUAAAAUAAUGCUAAAAUACCACGGUUUUUCUUUUGUAUUUUUAAAUAAAAUAUACCCUAUAUAUGUAUUAUUGUGUUCUGAGCUACAAUACAAGUAUUUUUAAAAUUAUAUGUUAAAUGAGAAUUAUUUGCUAUAAAAUUAGAAGUAGCUCUUUACUGCAUCUCAGAAAGAAUUUUAGUAUUAAUGUUUUAGGAAAUAAAAUUUCACUGAAUAAUUCCUGGAAAAAAUGUGUUUUAGAUAUAUGAAUAUUUAUGAACAUAUAAAUUCUACAUGCUAGAUUUAUUAGCAAAAGAUGAUUCUUGGCAUGGUUUGGUCUGUCAGAAAUCUCAAAGUAUAUCAACUCAAAUU
rnacentral:lncRNA from 10 species